rnacentral:rRNA from 1 species
AGGACGAACGCUGGCGGCGUGCCUAACACAUGCAAGUCAACGGGGUAAAUUGCUUCGGUGAUUUACUUAGUGGCGAACGGGUGAGUAACGCGUGAGGAACCUGCCUCUCAGUGGGGGACAACAGUUGGAAACGACUGCUAAUACCGCAUAAAGUAUCCGAAGGGCAUCCUUUGAAUACCAAAGAUUUAUUGCUGAGAGAUGGCCUCGCGUCUGAUUAGAUAGUUGGUGAGGUAACGGCUCACCAAGUCGACGAUCAGUAGCCGGUCUGAGAGGAUGAACGGCCACACUGGGACUGAGAUACGGCCCAGACUCCUACGGGAGGCAGCAGUGGGGAAUAUUGGGCAAUGGGGGAAACCCUGACCCAGCAACGCCGCGUGAAGGAAGAAGGCCUUCGGGUUGUAAACUUCUUUUACCAGGGACGAAGAACGUGACGGUACCUGGAGAAAAAGCAACGGCUAACUACGUG